GUGAUUGUGGUCGAGUGGUAAGGAGACGGGACUGAGACACCAACAUGUUUCAGGUUCGAUCCACCUGUUGUGCGAAACUAAGUCACAAUUAUCCUAGUCACCCAACACGGAUAUGGGCCCAUUUGAAUACCCGGAGAGAGGGUCUAUCCGUGGGCUGUCCCCAGGUUAAACAAAAAAAAAAAAAAAAAAAAAAACUUAAUUUGAUCCAACCCC
rnacentral:lncRNA from 1 species